rnacentral:rRNA from 1 species
GAUGAACGCUGGCGGCGUGCCUAAUACAUGCAAGUCGAGCGAACGGACGAGAAGCUUGCUUUUCUGAUGUUAGCGGCGGACGGGUGAGUAACACGUGGAUAACCUACCUAUAAGACUGGGAUAACUUCGGGAAACCGGAGCUAAUACCGGAUAAUAUUUUGAACCGCAUGGUUCAAAAGUGAAAGACGGUCUUGCUGUCACUUAUAGAUGGAUCCGCGCUGCAUUAGCUAGUUGGUAAGGUAACGGCUUACCAAGGCAACGAUGCAUAGCCGACCUGAGAGGGUGAUCGGCCACACGGGAACGUAGACACGGUCCAGACUCCUACGGGAGGCAGCAGUAGGGAAUCUUCCGCAAUGGGCGAAAGCCUGACGGAGCAACGCCGCGUGAGUGAUGAAGGUCUUCGGAUCGUAAAACCCUGUUAUUAGGGAAGAACAUAUGUGUAAGUAACUGUGCACAUCUUGACGGUACCUAAUCAGAAAGCCACGGCUAACUACGUG